rnacentral:rRNA from 1 species
UACGUAGGGUGCAAGCGUUGUCCGGAAUUAUUGGGCGUAAAGAGCUCGUAGGCGGUUUGUCGCGUCUGCUGUGAAAACGCGAGGCUCAACCUCGCGCCUGCAGUGGGUACGGGCAGACUAGAGUGCGGUAGGGGUGACUGGAAUUCCUGGUGUAGCGGUGGAAUGCGCAGAUAUCAGGAGGAACACCGGUGGCGAAGGCGGGUCUCUGGGCCGAUACUGACGCUGAGGAGCGAAAGCGUGGGGAGCAAACAGG